GGACGAACGCUGGCGGCGUGCUUAACACAUGCAAGUCGAACGGUAAGGCCCCAGCUUGCUGGGGUACACGAGUGGCGAACGGGUGAGUAACACGUGGGUGACCUGCCCCGCACUUCGGGAUAAGCCUGGGAAACUGGGUCUAAUACCGGAUACGACCGCACCGUGAGGGUGUGGUGGAAAGUUUUUCGGUGUGGGAUGGGCCCGCGGCCUAUCAGCUUGUUGGUGGGGUAAUGGCCUACCAAGGCGGCGACGGGUAGCCGGCCUGAGAGGGUGGACGGCCACAUUGGGACUGAGACACGGCCCAGACUCCUACGGGAGGCAGCAGUGGGGAAUAUUGCGCAAUGGGCGGAAGCCUGAUGCAGCGACGCCGCGUGGGGGAUGACGGCCUUCGGGUUGUAAACUCCUUUCACCAUCGACGAAGGUUUUCUGACGGUAGAUGGAGAAGAAGCACCGGCUAACUACGUG
rnacentral:rRNA from 1 species